UGAUUGGCCCGGAGAGCCGGAAAUUCAUCGCGUUCAGCGAGCGUUGCUGAAGAUGCUCCUCCUCAGGCCGGAAAUGCGCCUCGAGUCGGCUUCAGGAAGUUAUACAUCUUCCGACCGAGGCCGGAAGCUGAUCUUUCCGCCUAACACUUCUCUCGGAUCCUCGAGUUAGGCUUCUAGCUCUCGAGUUUUUGCUCCCCCUCCCCGAUUCCCCCUAUUGCAUCUCUGUAGUUCCGGUCCCAUCUUCCCUUGGGGCCGGAAGUGGCGGGUCGGGGGAGGCUGAGCGCCGUUGAAGGACUUAGGGAGGCAGCACUGUGAGGGCCAGGGUGCAAAAUGAUGUCACCAAAACAACUAGCUGACUUUGGCUACAAGGCUUUCUCUGCCUCCAUGAUGUUACUCACUGUGUAUGGUGGCUUUCUGUGUAGUGCCCGGGCCUAUCGCUACUUUCAGCAUCGUGGUGUCCUACGCCAGGCAGCUGAAGAACAAAAGCCUCAAAGCAUUCUGCAAGACUGAAGAGUUCUUUCUACCUUAGAAUACCAAGGCUUGAGACAUGCUGGGGGUCACCCGAAAUCGCAUGGAAGGGUAAUUACCAGCCUACCUUGAGAGUCUCCAUAGUUUCCGUCCUUGGUCAGAGGAAUGUACUUGAUGUGCUCCCUGCCCUGAAUUGUUAAAUGGAUCAUAGCACAAGAGUGACAGUGAAAGACAUAUAAAGAUAUUAAAUAUGGUUUGCCAUUUCA